rfam:Lupinus angustifolius cultivar Tanjil contig_8266, whole genome shotgun sequence.
GUUCCUUUCGUCCAUUGGUUAGGACAUCGUAUUUUCAUGUCGAAAACACGGGUUCGAUUCCCAUAAUGGAUG